AGGCCACAAGGGCUAUUCUUAGCCAAUCAUUUUGAUGAUGUGGACAACCUCUUUGGCAAGAUAAUGGAACUUUGAGCGGCAAUUUCUUUUCUCCAAUUCUCCUUUCUCACUACGCUACCCUUCACACGCUCUCUCUCCGAUCAAUUCAAUGUUGCCAAAAUUAUGAGUUCUUUUCUAUUUCAAAUCAAAAAACCCUAAAUGUUAAGCAAUCAUCUUACAAUCCAAUUCGGUUCCUAUCAAAAGCUUUUCCUUUCAUAUAUACUUCUGUAUACAACCCUAUCACGAUCUAACUGAAGUGGCCUCCUCUCCAUUACACACCCCCGUUUUCUUGAAAUUUCUCUCAUCGUCUCUCUUCAAGAAACCUCAAAUCAAAAAUCGGGUGUUGAAUUUUGGGGACAAAUUGAAGAUUAUAUUCGUGCAGCAGAAGAGUGGAAUAUCAAAAAUAUCAAAGUGUCCUAUUUUACAUCGAUGUUGCAGAGUUCUAGGGUUUAUGCAGAUAAAUUAGGGAUCAAGAUGGAGGCAAUAAAAAUAAUAGAUCGAACUUCGUUAAGGUGAUUUGCUAUGAACAAAUUGAAAAUUUUUGAAAACAGCUCCUGAUUUGUAAUGGGAAAUGGAUGAAACAACUGUAUGCCUGGAAGACCGGCUGAGAGCUGAAGGCAUCCUCAUAGUUGAUAUAAUAUCACUUAGGGGGUGUUUGGGAUUGCUUAUAAACAACUUAUUAACUUAUAACUUUUUGGAAAAUGAGUUUUUUAGAAAAUGAUGUUUGAGUAAUGGGUUGAAAAGGAGGUUUUAAGGCUUUGAAAAGGAGAAAUGGAAAAGUUAGGAGGGAGUGACUCUUUGGAAAAAGGAGAUAAGGAGGUGGAAAAGUUUGUUUUUCAUAAGCAAUCCCAAACACCCACUUAUAUUGAUUUCGAAUUUAUCCCGAUUAUGUUAUCUAAGCAAAUUGAAUGGACCUUUUCCUCGCUUCGCUAUUUGUAAUCAUUUACCUCUCUUCUAACUAUUUAUAGGUUUCUUUUUUAUGUUACUGUAACCAGUCUUAGUUUUUUAUGGCGCCACACCUGCUCUAAGUUGGAGAACUGUAAUUUCGUGUCACUUCCAUUUUGUUUGAUCUCUUCAUUGGUUUCAAAAACUAAAUCUCAUCCUUCAUCAAUGGCCCCAAAGAAAGGCGUCCAGGCAGUCGCAACUAAGACAGAUAUGGUAUGAGUAAGAGAUUGAAUCAGAGAUCGAUGGUUAGUUAAAGUUAUGUAUAACUCAUUAUAGGAAUGGAGCUUUUAUUUCUUUAUCCAAUCUGAAACUUCUAGAGUAUACUCUUUAAGGAUUUGUCUCUCUUUGAUUCUUUUAUUUGUUCUCAAAUUGUUGAACUUCUUUUACAUCAUUUGCUUGACUGUUGUGUAUACUCUAUGUCAUUUGUUUCUAAUGUGCAACAACUACCCUAUUCAAAGUUUGUGACAAUAGAGGACGAGGGAGAUGUGGCUAUGACUCUCAAUGGUUUACGUUGGAAGUUCUCCCAGGUUUUUGGUGAAUUUGUUGUAGAAGAAGCGGUUCAAGAAGGGAAGUAUGCGGUGUCAAAUGUUGGUGGCAUUACAGGUGUUUGCUGUUUUGCCUCUGAGAGUUAUGUUGAUGAUUCAAGAAAGAACUGAUUAAGUGGACCUUGGUCCUUUUAAGCAUACAAUUGACGAGGGAAUUGACUUAAGGAAAGCAACAUUUGAAUGUGUAGAUACAUUUCUUGAUACUUGCCUUGAUCAGUUGAACCCGACUUUCAUCUUUCAUUGUGUGUUACCUUAUCUGGUCUUCACGCAUCAUUGGAGGAUGGUUGUCAAUGUGCUUCUAAAAAUGUGGGAGUGGCGGAUGGAUCCAAGUAGGAGUGGUGCAUGGAUCCGGGUUUGAAAAUAGGUAUCUUAUUAUUAUUUAUCUAUUUAUGAGAGGUAAAAUUAUCUUAGAUCCUUUUAUGAUUCUAUGUACACCAGAGGUAGCUUAUUCCAUCAUAUUUAAAGUUUGGAUUAUGUGAGUAAUAUAACAGUCUAAUGCAAAGCCAUGUCAGCAAGCACCGAAAUAGAGGUAUUUACAAACCCGUUCCUCUUAUAUCAUUUUUUUUAUAUUGACCCAUUUAAGAUAACACAUAACCCAAAUCAACCCAUUCAUAAGUAUGUUAUAUUGUUAUGGAUCAAAACAUCGACUCUCGGACCUUUAUUAUUGAAAGUCACCUUAUUAGUGACGUUCAAAAUAUUUUUUAUUAUUAUUUUUCGUUGAAUAACGUGCCUCACAUAAUUUUAUGAAAGGAAUUUUGAUACUUUGACUGCUUAGUCAACAUGUGCUAAUGUUAGUGAUAGUAGCUACAAGAUAGUGGUAAAGAAAGAACUUAGCAAAGGUUGCAGAUCGUUCGAUAUUAUCAUCUGAACUGUUUCUUCUCCCCAUUAAUCAUAGGAUUCCUAAUUCGUAUCACUACAACAACGUCAAUACACCAGGGUUUGUCGUCUUCCAGCACAGAUCUUCAAAUGUGAUCUAAUGCUUCAUUAACAAGGUUAAUCUACAUGUUGGAUUCAAACGCAAAGUCACUAAUAAAUGAGUUUUAACAAGGAUUGCAUACCUGCAUUUGUUUUGAUUUUGAAAUUAUAGAUGGCGAUGGAUGUAUUAGCGGUACCAUUGCCAUAAAGUUCUUCGCCAUUUCCAAUUUAUCUCGACAAGAUCUCAAGCAGAUCGGUCGUUUGUUCCAUUUUUCUUGCUUUUAUACAGGUAUGUCAUCGAUUUUCCAAGAUUUUGUUUUUUAUGUGUUAAUAUCCCAAGUUAUCGUCAUUUUUGUGCUCCACGCCUAAUAUGAUUUUUUGACAACUUCUAUCAUUAAAAAUAUUUUUUCACUUUUCGUUUAAGUUUAAUUACUGUUAGUGUUCAGUAUCAAAUAAUUACUUUCAAAAUUCAUAGUUAUGAGUGAUAACAUGCUUUAACUUUUUAGAUAAAGAGUGAUCUUGAAGUGGUUAUACGAGAAUAUGCAUUCUUUAAACUCAUGACAAAAUCUAGAAAUGGAUUUAAAUGUUAUACAUGUUGGUUCAAUAGUAUAGAUACAACCCAUUUUUUAUCUAAGAUUAACACGUUUCUAUUUGAAAUAAUUGCAAAUUGAUGGAUUUUGUUCAUGUGCCAUUUUGGCAGCAUAUAUUAAGGACAAAAAAUAAUAUUAAACUUCCUAUAAGGUUAAACUAUUACAUUAAAAAAAAAAACUUCUCUGACUCCCUUUUGUGUGCUUCCCUUCUUCAUUUUCUAAUGCUAAGUGUUAGACAAUGCAUCAACAAAUCCAUAUGAAUUAAGUAUUAGGAUGUUUAUGAUAUUAGUUUUUAUUUUGGGGUUAUAUUUUAUAAAACCUGUUUCCAUGUUUCAGCAACCCCUUGGUAGCAAUGCUCCCGGUGAGAUGAAAAUGUAGUUAUCAUUCCAAAUAAUCAAUUAAAAGUAGGUGUAUACUGUGUUUAGUUAAGUUGACUUAUAUGUGUUGAAAAAGCUAUUAUGUGCUCUUUGGUAUAAUUGAAAAAACAUGAGUUGACUUCAGGAAGUCAACAGGUCAACAAGAGAAGACAAGGAUUUAAUCCAUUCUACAGGUUUUCGUUAAUAGACGUCACUUGAUAUCAUCCAUCGUCAAUGGUAUUGGGUAAUGAAUUAGUGAUUAAGAAUUCAGGACUUCGCAAUGAUUCACCUGAUGAAGAAACCGAUUGCUACUUUAUGCAAUAUGAGGAUGAACACUACAAGUUUAAUCAAGGUGUGUUACUCUGGGAAUGGAGCUAGGUAAGGACCCCUAAUAGCGUGGAAGAAAAUGAACAAUGGAGAGUAUCAACGGUUUACUAAUGCAGCAAAACAUAGGGGCGAGUAGUGAUUCAUGGUAGUGAAAAGAUGAUAAAGAGCUCAGAUUUUCAGUUAAAAAGUGAGGUUGGAUAUGGGUAGUAAAGUCGAUAUUAAUGCAGCAACGGAUGGUUACUACUGGAACAACGGGGCAACACCAAAAGCGAAUCUUUCUGCCUUGCUAUUCCGAACACGGAGGCAUUAGCAAAUAGAGGUAUGAUCCUGCCCUCAUUAUUGUGUAGGUUGUGUGAGCGAUCGGUAGAGACCGCGGACCAUGCCUUAGUACAAUGUUAGGUGGCACACAUGGUGUGGACAUAAGUGUAUGCAUGGCUGAGAAUUCCGUCGGGUGCUGGGACAAAUUCGGUGGGAAGUAGACUGCAAAAUGUAAGUAACUUGAGCUUAACGACAAAACGGAAAUGGAUAGUUCAUGUGAUUUUUUUACAGACUUUAUGGCGUCUAUGGAAGAAUAGAGAUGCUAAACUAUUUGAUGAUAGAGACAUUUUGGUAGCAAACUGACUGAAGAAAUAAAAAAGGAGUCGUUCAAGUGGUGUCGAUAGAGAUUAAAGGUAUCAAGUGUGUCUUGGUGUGAAUGAGGGCUAU